rnacentral:rRNA from 1 species
UACGGGGGGGGGCAAGCGUUGUUCGGAAUUACUGGGCGUAAAGGGCUCGUAGGCGGCCAACUAAGUCAGACGUGAAAUCCCCAGGCUCAACCUGGGAACUGCGUCUGAUACUGGAUGGCUUGAAUCCGGGAGAGGGAUGCAGGAUUCCAGGUGUAGCGGUGAAAUGCGUAGAUAUCUGGAGGAACACCCGAGGCGAAGGCGGCUCUCUGGGUCGUACCUGACGCUGAGGCGCGAAAGCGUGGGGAGCGAACGGG